CAGCAGUGAGGAAUAUUGGUCAAUGGGCGAGAGCCUGAACCAGCCAAGUCGCGUGAGGGAAGACGGUCCUAUGGAUUGUAAACCUCUUUUGCCGGGGAGCAAAGAGCGGUACGUGUACCGCGCCGAGAGUACCCGGAGAAAAAGCAUCGGCUAACUCCGUGCC
rnacentral:rRNA from 1 species